UUGAAAGGGAAACGAUUGAAGUCAGUCGUGCUGGCAUGAAAUCAACCACUGCAUACACAAAAGUGUUGGCGGGUGAGCCUAAAAACCAUCGCGCCAACAUCUUUGCGUAUGCAGUGGUGCACUUUUUUGUCAGCUGGUUAGCAUCAAUUUCGACCGUCAUAAAAAGGCUGGGGGGAUGUGGCUCCUUCGGGAGUGUUAUAACCCUUAGCGGAAUGUGGUGGACGUGAUUGAGGAUUGCAACGGGUGCUGCUUUACCUGGCCUCUCGCUUGCGUCUCGGUGGCGACAGCUCCGCGUGCCCUGUCUGUUUU
rnacentral:rRNA from 1 species